rnacentral:rRNA from 1 species
CCUACGGGUGGCAGCAGUGAGGAAUAUUGGUCAAUGGACGGAAGUCUGAACCAGCCAUGUCGCGUGCAGGAAGACGGCCCUAUGAGUUGUAAACUGCUUUUGUACAAGGGUAAACCUGAAUACGUGUGUUCAGCUGAAAGUACUGUACGAAUAAGGAUCGGCUAACUCCGUGCCAGCAGCCGCGGUAAUACGGAGGAUCCAAGCGUUAUCCGGAUUUAUUGGGUUUAAAGGGUGCGUAGGUGGAUUGAUAAGUUAGAUGUGAAAUGUUGGGGCUCAACCGGGGAAUUGCCCUUAAUACUGUUGAUCUAGAGUAUAGAUGAGGUAGGCGGAAUGUAUGGUGUAGCGGUGAAAUGCUUAGAGAUCAUGCAGAACACCGAUUGCGAAGGCAGCUUACCAAACUAUAUCUGACGUUGAGGCUCGAAAGCGUGGGUAGCAAACAGGAUUAGAUACCCCUGUAGUC